rnacentral:rRNA from 1 species
UACGUAGGGGGCGAGCGUUGUCCGGAUUUAUUGGGCGUAAAGAGCGUGUAGGCGGCCAGGUAGGUCUGCUGUGAAAACUCGAGGCUCAACCUCGAGACGCCGGUGGAAACCGUUUGGCUAGAGUCCGGAAGAGGAGAGUGGAAUUCCUGGUGUAGCGGUGAAAUGCGCAGAUAUCAGGAAGAACACCCGUGGCUAAGGCGGCUCUCUAGUACGGUACUGACGCUGAGACGCGAAAGCGUGGGGAGCGAACAGG